rnacentral:rRNA from 1 species
UACGUAGGGACAAGCGUUGUUCGGAUUUACUGGGCGUAAAGGGCGCGUAGCGGCAUAUUAAGUCAGACCGUGUGAAAUCUCCGAGCUUAACUCGGAACUGUCAGCUGAUACUGAUGUGCUAGAGUGCAGAAGGGCAAGUCGGAAUUCUUGGUGUAGCGGUGAAAUGACGUAGAUAUCAAGAGGAACACCUGAGGUGAAGACGGGUUGCGUGG